CCUACGGGAGGCAGCAGUAGGGAAUAUUGCUCAAUGGGGGAAACCCUGAAGCAGCAACGCCGCGUGGAGGAUGAAGGUUUUCGGAGUGUAAACUCCUUUUGUUAGAGAAGAGAAUGACGGUAUCUAACGAAUAAGCACCGGCUAACGCCGUGCCAGCAGCCGCGGUAAUACGGAGGGUGCAAGCGUUACUCGGAAUCACUGGGCGUAAAGAGCGCGUAGGCGGGAUAGCAAGUCAGAUGUGAAAUCCUAUGGCUUAACCCUAGAACUGCAUUUGAAACUGUUAUUCUAGAGUAUGGGAGAGGUAGGUGGAAUUCUUGGUGUAGGGGUCAAAUCCGUCGAGAUCAAGCGGAAUACUCAUUGUGCAGGCGCCCUGCUAGAACAUAACUGCCGCUGAUGCGCGAACGCGUGGGGAGCAAACAGGAUUAGAUACCAUAGUAGUC
rnacentral:rRNA from 1 species